AAACUAACAAGGAUUCCCCUAGUAACGGCGAGUGAAGCGGGAUGAGCUCAAAUUUGAAAGCUGGCAGCAAUGUCCGCGUUGUAAUCUCGAGAGUUGUUUUCCGCGUUGGACCACGUACAAGUUCCUUGGAAUAGGAUGUCAUAGAGGGUGAAAAUCCCGUACUUGAUGUGGACGCCCAAUGCUUUGUGAUACAUCUUCGAAGAGUCGAGUUGUUUGGGAAUGCAGCUCAAAAUGGGUGGUAAAUUCCAUCUAAAGCUAAAUAUUGGGGAGAGACCGAUAGCGAACAAGUACCGUGAGGGAAAGAUGAAAAGCACUUUGGAAAGAGAGUUAAACAGUACGUGAAAUUGUCAAAAGGGAAGCAUUUAAAGUCAGACGUGUAUUGUAGUAUUCAGCCUUGCUUUUGCUUGGUGUAUUUGCUAUAUUACAGGCUAACAUCAGUUUUGAGUGACGGAUAAGGGUAGAGAGAAUGUGGCAUCUUCGGAUGUGUUAUAGCUCUUUACUGGAUACGUCGUUUGGGACUGAGGAACGCAGCGCGCCGUAAGGCAGACCCUCGGGUACUUUCGCGCUUAGGAUGUUGGCGUAAUGGCUUUAAGUGAC
rnacentral:rRNA from 2 species